GCGUCUGUAGCUCAAUUGGAUAGAGCGCCUGACUUCGGAUCAGGAGGUUGAGGGUUCAACUCCUUCCAGGCGCACCA
rnacentral:tRNA from 1 species